rnacentral:lncRNA from 1 species
CCAGAUUUUGUUAAUAUUUAUCCAUGAUUUCUGUAUAUCAACCCUCCCUAGUUUUAUCACUACCCUGUGAAGUGAUGUAGGCUUAGAGAUAGUUACCAAAACAAACUUUGCGACUCAGUGGAGAUUUGAACCCCAGUCUCACAAGUCCCAGUUGGACAGUCCUUAAAGAACCAUACAUCCCUGCUCACUGGCUUUUGAUUUGAAGACCAAUGGAGGGUUAGACAGAAUUAAGUAAAAGUUAAGGUUUUCCCCUUACGUUAAGUCCAGUUGUGUCCGUCUCUGGGGAUUGGUGCUUAUCUCAAUUUCUAAGCUGAAGAGUCAGCAUUGUCCAUAGACACCUCCAAGGCCAUGUGGCCAGCAUGACUGUAUGGAGCACUGUUACCUUCCCACUGGAGCGGUACCUAUUGAUCUACUCACAUUUGCAUGUUUUUGAACUGCUAGGUUGGCAGAAGCUGGAGCUAACCGCAGCCGCUCACUCCACUGCCCAGAUUUGAACCUGUGACCUUUCAGUCUGCAAGUUCGCUAUGGUUCGCUAUGGUUUUUAUUCUUAUGUCUUUCUCACCCUGAGUUUUAACUUAAUGUUCAUGUGGUCCGCCCUUGUUUUCAUUGUUUCCUUGAUUUGUAUUGUAAUGGAUAUUAUUAUUUAUUGUAUUGUUCACUGUGUUGUGAUGUGUUGUUCUUUUAUAUGCUGUUUAUAUUGUAUUGUUCUGGGCAUGGCCCCAUGUAAGCCGCCCCGAGUCCCCGUUGGGGAGAUGCGGGGUAUAAAUAAAUUAUUAUUAUUAUUAUUAUUAUUAUUAUUAUUAUUAUUAUUAUAUUCACUGGCCAACACACAUUUUGGUGCCUCAAAUGUUAGAUCUGUUUCUGGGUAUAUUUGACCUGCUGAUUACAAAAACAACAAUAGUUUCCCCUCAUCAGCUCUAGUUUUUGACAUACAGAGUAUAUUUAACAUACCAAUCUUCAUAUGCCCAUCUGUAGAAAAUCAUGAUAACCAUAUCUAAGAAACUAGAGAUGAUGUUGUCUAUCAUAAGCAAUUUUCUGAAUCAGUAAAUUUUCUGUCUCGAGCAACCCCAGGAACAGACCAAAAAGCUAAGAAAUCAACAAUUUUGGGGGGGUUGGGCUAUAUUACCAGGCAUGGAGCAACAGAUUCUGCUAACCCAAUGUGAUCUUAAAUGAAUCUAUUGCACUUUAUCUAUUUAAAAUUUGUAACUCAUAAUGUGCACCUUGCUUAUCCGCUAUUGCAACCUAAUUGUUUUUAAUUCGAUGUUUUAAUACCGCAUUGUGUUUUUUCGGCUGCUGUGUAUAUAUUAUUAUUGGUUUUUAUUAUUGUUCUUUGAUGUUUCAUAUUUUAUUUUAUCAUUGUUUUGUAUCUGAUUUUGCUGUAAGCCGCCCCAAGUCCCCUUCGGGGGAGAUGGAGGCGGGAUAUAAAUAAACUUAUUAUUAUUAUUAUUAUUAUUAUU